UCCCUGGAGGACUAGUGGUUAGGCCACAGCGCUCUCACUAAUGUGGCCCGGGUUCGUUUCCUGGGCAGGGAA